AUUGAACGCUGGCGGCAGGCCUAACACAUGCAAGUCGAGCGGAGCGGCGGACGGGUGAGUAAUGCCUAGGAAUCUGCCUGGUAGUGGGGGAUAACGUCCGGAAAUGGGCGCUAAUACCGCAUACUAUCAGAUGAGCCUAGGUCGGAGUAGCUAGUUGGUGGGGUAAAGGCCUACCAAGGCGACGAUCCGUAACUGGUCUGAGAGGAAGAUCAGUCACACUGGAACUGAGACACGGUCCAGACUCCUACGGGAGGCAGCAGUGGGGAAUAUUGGACAAUGGGCGAAAGCCUGAUCCAGCCAUGCCGCGUGUGUGAAGAAGGUCUUCGGAUUGUAAAGCACUUUAAGUUGGGAGGCGUUACCAGCAGAAUAAGCACCGGCUAACUUCGUGCCAGCAGCCGCGGUAAUUC
rnacentral:rRNA from 1 species